AGCUCAGGUGAGCACUUCCUCCACCCUGCAAAAGUAAAAAUUGUAGGGGAGCUGAUUCUCAAGCGGGCAAUGGAUGAUCUCUCAAGGUUGGGAGUGCUCACUCUUCAAGCCAAGUUCUUGUUGAAUCUCUCUUUUAUCAAACAUAGCUUUGAGUAUGUAUUAUGAAACUGUCACAAGUCAGCUCAUGCUCUGGAGGCAUUACAUGUGGGAGGUUGUCCUGGCAAUCAUAAUGUAUGGGUUACAAUUUUUCCUUGCGAUGCACACUGUUUGUUGCCAAUGAUCUGGCAGUGCCAUAAGGAAGUACAUGUGUUUCAUCUGUAAAUAUAAGAUGUAACUUUAUAUGAACCGAAUAGAGUAAACUAUUCAGUGUGCAAACACAAAGUAUUCCUUAGUACAAAUCAUAGAUAAUUCCAUGGAUAAAGCUUAUGGUAUAAUAUUUUUUUGCUUG